GUAACUAGGGAGUAACGUACCGGGAAACCCGAACGGGGGACGUAAUACCGGAUAACACAUGAAACCGCAUGGUUUCAUGAUGAAAGACGGUUUUGCUGUCACUUAUAGAUGGACCCGCGGCGUAUUAGCUAGUUGGUAAGGUAACGGCUUACCAAGGCAACGAUACGUAGCCGACCUGAGAGGGUGAUCGGCCACACUGGAACUGAGACACGGUCCAGACUCCUACGGGAGGCAGCAGAC
rnacentral:rRNA from 1 species